AUUGUUUACACAGCUGGAGGAGGAGGAGCACUGCUACUUAUUAUACUGGUAGUGGCCAUUGUUGUCUUUGUCGUGUCACGUAGAAGGAGAAGUAAAAAGAGUGCAGAGCAAACCUACAUGGAGGCCCUUCAGCAAGGAAGUGAACUUCAAACCCCGAAUCCCCGAGACCAGCGAACCUAUAUCGACCCUAACGACUACAUCGACUUGCAAGAACUUUUGACAUC